UAGGGAAUAUUGCACAAUGGGCGAAAGCCUGAUGCAGCAACGCCGCGUGUGCGACGAAGGCCUUCGGGUCGUAAAGCACUUUUCUGAGAGAUGAGAAAGGACAGUAUCUCAGGAAUAAGUCUCGGCUAACUACGUGCCAGCAGCCGCGGUAAAACGUAGGAGGCGAGCGUUAUCCGGAUUCACUGGGUGUAAAGCGCGUGCAGGCGGUUCGGUAAGUUGGGCGUGAAAUCUCCUGGCUCAACUAGGAGAGGUCGUUCAAUACUACCGGGCUAGAGAGCGGUAGAGGAAGAUGGAAUUCCCGGUGUAGUGGUGAAAUGCGUAGAUAUCGGGAGGAACACCAGUGGCGAAGGCGAUCUUCUGGACCGUUUCUGACGCUCAGACGCGACAGCUAGGGUAGCAAACGGG
rnacentral:rRNA from 1 species